UGAUCCAGCAAUGCCGCGUGAGUGAUGAAGGCCUUAGGGUUGUAAAGCUCUUUUACCCGGGAUGAUAAUGACAGUACCGGGAGAAUAAGCUCCGGCUAACUCCGUGCCAGCAGCCGCGGUAAUACGGAGGGAGCUAGCGUUAUUCGGAAUUACUGGGCGUGAAGCGCACGUAGGCGGCUUUGUAAGUUAGAGGUGAAAGCCUGGAGCUCAACUCCAGAAUUGCCUUUAAGACUGCAUCGCUUGAAUCCAGGAGAGGUGAGUGGAAUUCCGAGUGUAGAGGUGAAAUUCGUAGAUAUUCGGAAGAACACCAGUGGCGAAGGCGGCUCACUGGACUGGUAUUGACGCUGAGGUGCGAAAGCGUGGGGGGCAAACAGGAUUAGAUACCCUGGUAGUCCACGCCGUAAACGAUGAUAACUAGCUGUCGGGGCUCUUAGAGCUUCGGUGGCGCAGCUAACGCAUUAAGUUAUCCGCCUGGAGAGUACGGCCGCAAGGUUA
rnacentral:rRNA from 1 species